rnacentral:rRNA from 1 species
UGCGCAGCUUACCAUGCGAGUCGAACGAUGACUCUCUAGCUUGCUAGAGAUGAUUAGUGGCGGACGGGUGAGUAACAUUUAGGAAUCUGCCUAGUAGUGGGGGAUAGCUCGGGGAAACUCGAAUUAAUACCGCAUACGACCUACGGGUGAAAGGGGGCGCAAGCUCUUGCUAUUAGAUGAGCCUAAAUCAGAUUAGCUAGUUGGUGGGGUAAAGGCCCACCAAGGCGACGAUCUGUAACUGGUCUGAGAGGAUGAUCAGUCACACCGGAACUGAGACACGGUCCGGACUCCUACGGGAGGCAGCAGUGGGGAAUAUUGGACAAUGGGGGCAACCCUGAUCCAGCCAUGCCGCGUGUGUGAAGAAGGCCUUUUGGUUGUAAAGCACUUUAAGCAGGGAGGAGAGGCUAAUGGUUAAUACCCAUUAGAUUAGACGUUACCUGCAGAAUAAGCACCGGCUAACUCUGUGCCAGCAGCCGCGGUAAUACAGAGGGUGCGAGCGUUAAUCGGAAUUACUGGGCGUAAAGCGAGUGUAGGUGGCUCAUUAAGUCACAUGUGAAAUCCCCGGGCUUAACCUGGGAACUGCAUGUGAUACUGGUGGUGCUAGAAUAUGUGAGAGGGAAGUAGAAUUCCAGGUGUAGCGGUGAAAUGCGUAGAGAUCUGGAGGAAUACCGAUGGCGAAGGCAGCUUCCUGGCAUAAUACUGACACUGAGAUUCGAAAGCGUGGGUAGCAAACAGGAUUAGAUACCCUGGUAGUCCACGCCGUAAACGAUGUCUACUAGCCGUUGGGGUCCUUGAGACUUUAGUGGCGCAGUUAACGCGAUAAGUAGACCGCCUGGGGAGUACGGCCGCAAGGUUAAAACUCAAAUGAAUUGACGGGGGCCCGCACAA